rnacentral:lncRNA from 1 species
GAGCAGUGCCUUUCAGUGCUUGGUUCACAGAGGACUCAGCUUGAGGAGGUCACUCGUUCACUGCCGCUCCUCCCAUUAUAUUUUUCCCCUUAUUGCAGAACUGCUGUAUGUAUACAGUGACUGAAAGGACUCAAUUUACUGCAACUGCUGUCUGGCUUUACUUACAACUUUUUGUUAUAAAGGAACUUACCUCCAUCUGUCUUUUCAAGAACCGAAAGGGUCCUCUCCGGUCCUGAAGACAGUAAAUCACCGGCUGCGCGGUGGGUCUACGAAGACACUUAAAGGGCUGAGUUGGAUGCUCUCCACAGCACCCUUGCCAAAAGAGUUCGGAAAUGACUUCCAGCUUCCCACAGUCAUAAAAUGGCACUGUUUGGCAUCUUUAAGGUAAUAAAAGAGAAUUUUUCCCCCUCAUUCUAGUAUUUUGGAAGAGAGGCCUGGUUGUUUUAAAAGCUGAUUAAAAUGCGUGUGUUUUCCUCCAGUUCCAGAGCGUGGUAUGAGCACGCUUAGGAGCCCUGCUGGCCACCUCGGAACCUCCUUCUCCAGGCAGCUCUCGGG